rnacentral:rRNA from 1 species
UGGGGAAUAUUGCACAAUGGAGGGAACUCUGAUGCAGCGACGCCGCGUGAACGAAGAAGGCUUUCGAGUCGUAAAGUUCUUUUAUAUGGGAAGAUAAUGACGGUACCAUAAGAAAAAGCCCCGGCUAACUACGUGCCAGCAGCCGCGGUAAUACGUAGGGGGCUAGCGUUGUCCGGAAUCACUGGGCGUAAAGGGUUCGCAGGCGGAAAUGCAAGUCAGGUGUAAAAGGCAGUAGCUUAACUACUGUAAGCAUUUGAAACUGCAUAUCUUGAGAAGAGUAGAGGUAAAUGGAAUUUUUAGUGUAGCGGUGAAAUGCGUAGAUAUUAAGAAGAAUACCGGUGGCGAAGGCGACUUACUGGGCUCAUUCUGACGCUGAGGAACGAAAGCGUGGGUAGCAAACAGG